CCUCACUGUUAAGGCGGCUGAGUGAGGUCCAGCAGCACGUUUUCAUCCACAUCUCCAUCUGUUUUAUUUAAGGCUGGACUGCUGAAUGUGCCCCAGGUGCUGCAGGUUUCUGUUCGUGUCAAGGAGCUGCUGUCUCAGCUGAGGCCCAACGCUGUGGCACUAGUCGAUGCCUUCGACCACCACGACAGGAAGCUGAAUUCGGUCUUGGGACGAUAUGAUGGCAACGUGUAUGAGAACUUGUUUGAGUGGGCUCGCCGCUCACCGCUAAACUCCACAGAGGUCCAUGAAUCCUUCCACAAGUACCUGAAGCCCCUGCGGUCCAAACUGUGAGCGGACCCCUGGCACCUUGAUUCCUGGCUGAGACCCAUCAACACUGCAUAUAUAAGCACAACCUUAGCCACAUUAACACAUCAUAUCAUUUCUGGUAUUUACCAGUCUGCAUUGAUUUAGCCUUCAUCUCUAUAAGUGGUGAGUUGAUCACCAUACUCAGCCACUCUAAAGGCCAUGGUAUACUGCAACAUGUUGGAGCUGUCUACAUUGAUCUCUACACAGUGGGCUGUAAACAGGGUGGACAUCCUAAACAAUCUAAAAGUAAUUAUUGAGGAGAAUGAAAGCAAAACCAGGAAUGAAAAUUCAAAAUCUCUAGUGAGAUCAUUAUUUUGCGUAAAAAAUAUAUAUUUUAAGAAUACUGAAAACAAUCAAAUAUUUGCACUUUUAGAUGACCAUGUUUUCUGUCUGCUGCAUGUCUGAUGGCUCCUCAUUAUGAGCCAGCCAAGAUGGAAAUGCCAUUUUUUUUUUUUUUUUUUUUUUUUUUUUUCUAACAAGAACAAAAUGUUGUUAUGAAUGUUUCACAUAUUCGAGCGCUUUAUGUUCGGAACAAACCAACAGCAAAAUCUGUGUUGGUUGUUUCCCCUGACGACGAGGACCACCAUUUUAUUUGAUUACACACUGUGCCAUUUGUCAUGAUUGUUAUUAAAGAGCUGUAGUUCAUCAACAACCUUUAUCAAUUGCUGUAGGCAUUAAGACGGAGAUGAACAAAGUGAAGAUAUAGAAUAUCUCACAUAAAAUACUGAAAACCAUUUUGAAACCAUCAGUAGAUAAAACCUGCAUAUACAUCAGCUGUUCUCCAGAGCCGUAAGAAUUUAAAAUGCCUUAAAUGUCACUGUCCUACAUUGUAUCAGACUGUUCCUCACAGCCUUAAGUUGAUACUUCCCUUCAAGUGAAUGCUUUGUACAAUCAAAUACUCCCUUUCAGGCCUCCUUUUGUAGAGAACAGCGGCUGCGAUCAGCUUGAAUUCAGUCACAAUGGUCUUAAUAUUUAAAAUCUUUCAAUUAUCAUAAAGGUAAAACAAUUUGCCUUUACUCUGAGCCCCACCACCCGUCCCACCUUGUUCCGUAUAAUGAAUAACAUAGUGAUACUUUAAUGACUUUACAGAUACCAGCGUGUACGUUAUAUACACCUAACUGUACUUUGACAGAAGCUGAGCUCAAUAGAGAGAAUAGGGCCCAUCAAGACACUACGAAUGUGAGACAGUGGUAUUAUUUACAAUGACUUACAGGAGACGAAAGGAAUCACUUUGGAAUGAUUUGUUCUAAAUGCCUCAAUUUCUGAGCUGUGGCGGCUCUCUGUCAAGCAGCGUGUUCUAUCAUUGGAAUGAACGAUGACACYAUUCUGUGCGUCCACAUGCUCCUGAAUGGGUUUGUGGACAGAAAGCUUUCUGCAGAUAAUGGUGAAAUAUGUCAAAUGUGUAAAGAGCACCUGUGAGGACAGGUUGUAUGAAUUUAUGACCAUUAUCAUGUGUUUAAUGAGGCCACAUAUGCACUGUUUAUGUGAAUUAGUAUUCUCCCUCCCUGCUGUGAGGGGUUGAUAUAUUAUAAAGAAUGGUAAAAAAAAACGCAUUUCAAACCACACACUUUAAAUAAAUCCUUUGUUAAUGUGCUACACUGUUUAAAUCCUGCUGACUGAAUUGUUGUGGUUCAUAUAUGAUGUUCAUUAAUGCUUCUCUCUGUUAUUACUGUUUCAGAAACAAAAACCGUUAUAGAAAAAACCUGUAAUAAUGAAGUGACUCAGCAAACAAAUAUAAUAUAAUUGUUGGUAGAUUUGUGAUCUUGGUUUAUCUCAGUGGGCAGAAGUUUAUUUUUGUCACAGUGCCACCAAAUCCAACAGAUCGGUUAAAAGUAGCAACAGAACGACUCCAGUAAAAUGUAAUGAGUUUGUUUGACUGUAAUGACACGAUGAUGAAAAGGAGAGCUUUAAUCUAAAGCCUCACUGAACUGUAAAGAUGAUUUCUGAGAUAAUUAUGUGCCUGAGGAAAUUGUCUUUACUUAAAAUAAUUAACUAAUUGAGUUUCAGUACAAGGCGAUUACUGUUUCAUUUCUCUUUGUAUGACUUUUAAUCCGUUAACUUCUGCCGUGAGGGCACGAUUAUCAAUAUGUCACGACUAAGCUCUUUAUUCACCAUGUUUGUGUGAUUGUGGUUUAUUGAAUAAUGAUUUUAAACAAUAUGAUUGUAAUAGUAAGUAAUUUGACAUGUAAGUUGUAUAAAUAAAUAAACUAAAUGAG